rnacentral:rRNA from 1 species
CCUACGGGCGGCAGCAGUGGGGGAUAUUGCACAAUGGGGGAAACCCUGAUGCAGCGACGCCGCGUGGGCGAAGAAGUAUUUCGGUACGUAAAGCCCUAUCAGCAGGGAAGAAGAAAUGACGGUACCUCAGUUAGAAUCGCCGGCUAAAUACGUGCCAGCAGCCGCGGUAAUACGUAGGGGGCAAGCGUUAUCCGGAUUUACUGGGUGGAAUGGGAGCGCAGGCGGCAGGGCAAGGCUGAUGUGAAAGCCCGCGGCCCAACCGGGGGAGUGCAUUGGGAAUUACCGGGCUGGAGUGCCGGAGAGGUAGGGAGAAGUCCUAGUGUAGCGGUGAAAUGCGUAGAUAUUAGGAGGAACACCAGUGGCGAAGGCGGCCGUCUGGACGGUGACUGACGCUGAGGCUCGAAAGCGUGGGGAGCAAACAGGAUUAGAUACCCGAGUAGUC